UACGGAGGAUGCGAGCGUUAUCCGGAUUUAUUGGGUUUAAAGGGUGCGUAGGCGGCUUUUUAAGUCAGCGGUGAAAUUUUGCAGCUUAACUGUAACAGUGCCGUUGAUACUGGGGAGCUAGGAUUUGGUUGCUGUGGGUGGAAUGUGUGGUGUAGCGGUGAAAUGCUUAGAGAUCACACAGAAUAUCGAUUGCGAAGGCAGCUCACAAAGCCGAGAUUGACGCUGAGGAACGAAAGUGUGGGGAUCAAACAGGAUUAGA
rnacentral:rRNA from 1 species